rnacentral:tRNA from 1 species
GGACCCGUGGUCUAGUCCGGUUAUGACACUACUUUCACAGAGUAGGGGUCAGGAGUUCGAAUCUCCUCGGGUCCACCA